GGUGCUAAUCGUGCAGUCGACUAAUACAUGCAGUCGAGCGAAUGGAUUAAGAGCUUGCUCUUAUGAAGUUAGCGGCGGACGGGUGAGUAACACGUGGGUAACCUGCCCAUAAGACUGGGAUAACUCCGGGAAACCGGGGCUAAUACCGGAUAAUAUUUUGAACUGCAUGGUUCGAAAUUGAAAGGCGGCUUCGGCUGUCACUUAUGGAUGGACCCGCGUCGCAUUAGCUAGUUGGUGAGGUAACGGCUCACCAAGGCAACGAUGCGUAGCCGACCUGAGAGGGUGAUCGGCCACACUGGGACUGAGACACGGCCCAGACUCCUACGGGAGGCAGCAGUAGGGAAUCUUCCGCAAUGGACGAAAGUCUGACGGAGCAACGCCGCGUGAGUGAUGAAGGCUUUCGGGUCGUAAAACUCUGUUGUUAGGGAAGAACAAGUGCUAGUUGAAUAAGCUGGCACCUUGACGGUACCUAACCAGAAAGCCACGGCUAACUACGUGCCAGCAGCCGCGGUAAUACGUAGGUGGCAAGCGUUAUCCGGAAUUAUUGGGCGUAAAGCGCGCGCAGGUGGUUUCUUAAGUCUGAUGUGAAAGCCCACGGCUCAACCGUGGAGGGUCAUUGGAAACUGGGAGACUUGAGUGCAGAAGAGGAAAGUGGA
rnacentral:rRNA from 1 species